AUUGAACGCUGGCGGCAGGCCUAACACAUGCAAGUCGAACGAGCGGCGGACGGGUGAGUAAUGUAUGGGGAACUGCCCGAUAGAGGGGGAUAACUACUGGAAACGGUAGCUAAUACCGCAUACCAUCGGAUGAACCCCUAUGGGAUUAGCUAGUAGGUGGGGUAACGGCUCACCUAGGCGACGAUCCCUAGCUGGUCUGAGAGGAUGAUGAGCCACACUGGGACUGAGAAACGGCCCAGACUCCUACGGGAGGCAGCAGUGGGGAAGAUUGCACAAUGGGCGCAAGCCUGAUGCAGCCAUGCCGCGUGUAUGAAGAAGGCCUUAGGGUUGUAAAGUACUUUCAGCGGGGAGGCGUUACCCGCAGAAGAAGCACCGGCUAACUCCGUGCCAGCCGCCGCGGUAAUUC
rnacentral:rRNA from 1 species